rnacentral:rRNA from 1 species
CCUACGGGUGGCAGCAGUGGGGAAUAUUGCACAAUGGGCGCAAGCCUGACCCAGCAACGCCGCGUGAAUGAAGAAGGCUUUCGGGUUGUAAACUACUUUCAGGAGGGAAGAGCAGAAGACGGUACCUCUUGAAUAAGCCACGCCUAACUACGUGCCAGCAGCCGCGGUAAUACGUAGGUGGCAGGCGUUGUCCGGAUUUACUGGGUGUAAAGGGCGUGCAGCCGGGAAGACAAGUCAGAUGUGAAAUCCCGCGGCUCAACCGCGGAACUGCAUUUGAAACUGGUUUUCUAGAGUACCGGAGAGGUGAUCAGAAUGCCAGGUGUAGCGGUGAAAUGCGUAGAGAUAAGGAAGAACACCAGUGGCGAAGGCGGAUGACUGGACGGAGACUGACGGUGAGGCGCGAAAGCGUGGGGAGCAAACAGGAUUAGAUACCCGGGUAGUC